CCUACGGGAGGCAGCGGUGGGGAAUAUUGGACAAUGGGGGGAACCCUGAUCCAGCGACGCCGCGUGAGUGAAGAAGUAUUUCGGUAUGUAACGCUCUAUCAGCAGGGAAGAAAGAAAUGACGGUACCUGACUAAGAAGCCCCGGCUAACUACGUGCCAGCAGCCGCGGUACUACGUAGGGGGCAAGCGUUAUCCGGAUUUACUGGGUGUAAAGGGAGCGUAGACGGCGAUGCAAGUCUGAAGUGAACGGCGGGGGCCCAACCCCUGGACUGCUUUGGAAACUGUAUGGCUGGAGUGCAGGAGAGGUAAGUGGAAUUCCUAGUGUAGCGGUGAAAGGCGUAGAUAGUAGGAGGAACACCAGUGGCGAAGGCGGCUUACUGGACUGUAACUGACGUUGAGGCUCGAAAGCGUGGGGAGCAAACAGGAUUAGAUACCCUUGUAGUC
rnacentral:rRNA from 1 species